rnacentral:snRNA from 1 species
GGAUGUGAGGGUGAUCUGGCUGCGAUACCUGUCACCCCACUGAUCGCCAGGGUUUAUCUGGCCGACUUGGCUGGCUAGGCGGGUGUCCCCUUCCUCCCUCACCGCUCCAUGUGCGUCCCUCCCGACGCUGCGUGCUGGGUCGAAGAGGUCGGCCUUCCCGGAAGAGACUGGCCUUUGGCGGAGGGAUACGAGCAGCUGCGCUCCCCUGCUAGAACCUCCAACAAGCUCUGAAGGCCCAAAGCAGGCAUUUAUUUUGUUAUUAUUAUUAAGCGCACACACUACAGU